rnacentral:lncRNA from 1 species
ACUGGUCAGUGUUAUACACACAAUGGAAGCUGUCCAUAUGGAAAUAGACUUCUGUACACCAUAAUUUGAAUUAAGUAAUGAAUAUAUAUAUAAAUUAUUUUAAAAGUUGUAUAUCACAAUGUAUAACAUUCCAUUUUGACUAUAUUUUGUAAAACAUUUCUGAUGUACUCAGUAUGAUGCUCACAUAUGUCAAAUCAAGUAUUCUACUAUUUAUUUAAAUAGAUAUAUGCCUAAUGUAUUUAGAAGCUUAUUACUCUCAUAUAAUUGUAUAUAUUGUGGCUUUAAAAGUAUGUACUUAUUCUUGCUUUAAAAGUAGUAUGUGCAUUUCUUUCCACUUUAUUUUUAAUUAAUUAUAUUAAGGAUAACAUCCUUUACUAAAUGUACUUUAAAAUUCACAAUAAAGUUUCAGAAAUUGUUUUGUACAAUGUUGAGACUUUGUGUUGAAUUUCUUUGUGAAUAUUUUAUUGUCCUUUGGUCAUCUAAUAACAAAUUUCAGAACUUAAUAUCAUUCCUAAAAUAGUGAGCAAAAUCCUGUGGGUUGGUAGAUAACUAGCCUGUGUUGAGCUGGAAGGAAGUCUUCCCAAGUGAUCCAUUACUCAAGUAUGUUGGAACCUGGCUAGGGGACACCAGUGGGCUCCUUCCCCCUAAGUGCCUACUUACUCAGUGCAUACAUGUUUCAUCACUAGCAUGUCCAGCUACAUGGACAUUGAUUGUUCUAGACUGCAGAGAAGCCAUUAUGAAGAAAGGCGGUCAAGUGACCGACAAAUGUAGAGUUCUGUUUAAUCCUUUCAUGACUGAAACAUAAAAGUUAAGAAGCUACUCAAAAGACAAAAAUGUAAAAUGUUGGCACAACAGUGAGCCUGACAAGACUCCAGUUUUCACUAUAAUAAAUACAGGUAUACACAUUUUAAAGACUUGGCUCGCUAGUAUGAAGAGUUACUCAUUUUAUAAAAUAAUUUAGAAUUCUAGUCCGGGGAUAAGCUUUGUUCCAUGAGGAAUCAGCACAAUAUGUCAAUGUCAACCUAUGAUGCCUAAGGAAGAAGCCCUCCUAAACUAUUACUACAUAGGAAUCCAUGUACAUAUGUGCAGCUCUGUAAAGUGCACGUGGCUUUGCUAUGAUUUUUGUUUUGCUUCCAUACAAAGGAAGUAAACAAUUGAACUAAUUUUCCAUAGAAUUUUAACUUCAUUGCCAACUCACUAUCUUACUACCUCAAAAGAAAAACACAGGAAAGUCAUUCAAUGACCAAAGCACUUUCUUAGAAGGGGUAUUUACUUUAAGUGAUAUUUAAUAUAAAAACAGAUAAGCAUAUUAAAAUUGACACAUCAUAAGCAUGAAAUAAAUGUCUUGAAAGACCUGCCAGUUUAAAAGCUAUAUUUAUUCAGGGCAGAACUAUUAAGCCUAUAUUCUCCGUUUUGUAAUUCUUUUCCUUUUAAGUUUUGUUCUAAAUAAAAAAAACAAAGUGGUUCAAGUGAAAUGAUACAGUCUAAUUGAACAAAUCAGCAAACCUUCUUUGAAUUGCUGAUGUCACACCC